rnacentral:tRNA from 1 species
AGCCCGAUAGUCUAGCGGUCAAAUAAAAAAAGUUUUAGAUCAAGGAUUCUGCCCUCUGGAGGCGGAGACGGCAGUUCGAAUCUGCCUCGGGCUA